UUUUCAUAAAUAAAACGUUUAAAAGGGUUAAUCAUGAAAUGCUCGUUGACGCGUAAAACAUAAGCGAACCGAUACUGCUCCAUGGUAUUCGAACGAACAUACGCGUUCCCACAAACCAUCCAGCAAAGAGAAAAAUGCUUUUCCUGCAUCGUAACGAUCUACUGUGCACCUAACGAACACUUCACGAGCCAACAAAGGCCAGCCAGAAAGGACGCUGCUUUUUUCCGUCAUUGUCCUUAUAAAUACUUCUUAGCCGUUGUACCAGCUCCGCGAACCGCAUAGCAGCCACGGCCAAAGAGGACAACGUGCUUAGGCGUGUCUAAACGGUUCACCGUCACUGUCCUACGCCAGUAUAUUUGUACCGCGUUCCUCGUCCGUGCAACCGAACGAACGAACCGCGCUCGGUUAGUGCUGUACAAUCUCCUCGGCGGUCAGUUGCGCUUGAUGAUCACGGCACGGCGUGCCGACUGCGAACGUACGUUCUUUCCGGCCGACUUUUAUAUGUGUUUCGGUCGUCCGGUCGCGAAACUUUGUCCGGAACAGUUCGACGCAGCCGGUGGUGAAAAGCUCAUCGCGGAAUUCAUUGUGCAAGCGAGUGCUCUCUCUCCCGGGAUAGAGUGAGUGAGAGAGAGAGAGAGAGAUAGAGGUUAUGUGAGUGAACUCGAAUGAACUUGAGCGAGUGUUCGGUACCACAGUUCCCGUUAACAAUCUCCUGCGAACGGUGCACGCCUGCGGGAAAAUGUUGUUGCAUCGUUUAGCUCGUUACCCGUUCGCCUGACACACUUUUCCGCCGGUCUCGGAUGAAGCAACUUUUUCCGCCCGUAAACUCGAUUCGAACGCGCGCAGGGGGUUAGGUCGCCGCCGUGUCCGUUUCUUUCUAUCGCGCGUCGGCGAAAGUGGAACUACGUACCUCGCCACUCGGCGUCCCGCGUCGCAUUUCUACUAGCUCUGUGAUUGGACGAGAUUCUCGAACGGGCAGCGUUCGAGGAUCGGUGCGUUAGGACACGCUAUCCGGCCGAGCAGAAACUAGGCAACGAGAUCGUUGCUUCUGGUCUCCUGAUAGGACAGUUCUUCUCGCGUCCCGGAAAUUCGCCGGUCUUGCGGUGCUAGGGCAGCUCUUAGGUCAGCGCUAAAGUGUCGACGGGAAGAGUCUACGUCGUAGAUUCUUUUGUCCGGUGUGCGCGUCGAGAAAAUUAAGAGCCAGUUUUCGGUUACUUUGGUACAGCCUCUAACUGUCGGAAAAUUUUGAUAUUUUAUCUUGGAUCUUUUGCAAUUUCGCUCGCUGCCUGUCGCCGAAAUUUAAAUAUUCCGCCAAAAUAUGCGAUUCGGCGCCAGAUAUUGCACCAGCAUAACCUAUCACAAGGCAAGAAAAAAAGAAAGGUGCUUCGUCGGGGGACCGUAGAAUGAAAUAGAACGAUUUAUUUGUUAUUUUGCGGGAUGACAUUGUGAUAUCGUUCAAAGACAAUAAUAAACGAAACAAAACAUGCUUCGACGAAACCAAAAAGCUCUACUCUACUGUGAACUGUUUGGGC